UACAGAGGUGGCAAGCGUUGUUCGGAAUUACUGGGCGUAAAGGGCGCGUAGGCGGCCUACUAAGUCAGACGUGAAAUCCCCCGGCUUAACCUGGGAACUGCGUCUGAUACUGGAAGGCUUGGGGAUGGGAGAGGGAUGUAGAAUUCCAGGUGUAGCGGUGAAAUGCGUAGAUAUCUGGAGGAAUACCGGUGGCGAAGGCGGCAUCCUGGACCGACAUUGACGCUGAGGAGCGAAAGCUAGGGGAGCAAACGGG
rnacentral:rRNA from 1 species